rnacentral:lncRNA from 1 species
GGCGGGGCUAAAGGGCUUAAUCCUCGUGGCCCGAAUUAGGAUAGGAUAACAGCAGCCGCGGCAACAACCAAUCAGAAGGCGCGAUGCAGAUAGCGGUUCUCAAGCCGCCAAUGGGCGGGCGAGGCUCGGAGUUGGGGUAAUGACAUCAGUCAAUCAGGAGCCCGGAGACAGAAGCUCCUCCUUCCUUCUCCCCGUCCCCGGGGGCGGGCUACUGGGGUGCAGAGAAGGGGUGGCGGUGCCGCGCGUGCGCAGGGCUGUGUUUCCUUCUAGCACCUUAAGGUGUGAAUCUGUGGUGGCUUCAGAUGAUCUGAAUCCCAGCGUCUCCCACCCCCUCUUCGCAUUCCCAGCUCCACACGUUCCCAUCUCUGUUCCCGUGCCUGCCAUGAGCACUUGUGCUGCCUCUCGCUUCAGCAGCGAGGCAUUGCCAACAAGGCUUAUUUGGGCUGUACAGGUACCUGAGUGGAGGAGACGAAGGAGGCCAGUUCACGUUUGGUUCCUGUUCUGAUUCAAGUCACAUCGCUCUGGAGUGCUCCCAGAUUUGGUAACAGAGGUACAAAGCCGAGUGAUAAGAAUACCAACAUGCAAAAUCUGAUUGGAGUCCAAAGCUUACAGAAUUCGGGUGCACUUAGAUGUGGAUUUUGCCCCCCUUGGUUAUUCAAGAAUUACCUGUGAAAUUAAGAGUCAAACUAUUGCUUUUGAUAGACUAUUCCCAAUGACCGGCUAUGCUGUGUGCAACAUAAAGAUCCACUUAGAAUCACAGAAUAUCCCGAACUGGAAGAGACGCACCGUGAUCAUUGAGUCCAACUUCUGGCCCCACACAGAACCACCCAAAAACCAAACCCUAUGCCUGAGAGUGUUAUCAAGAUGUUUCUUGAACUCUGCCAAGCUCAGUGCCAUGAAUGCUUCCCUGGGGAACCUGUUCUAGAGCCUGACCACUCUCUGGUGAAGAGCUUUAUCUUGCCAUCCAACCUGACCUUCUCCUGAACCUCCACUUCCCUUAGUCCAGCCUCUUCAGGAAAUAAUGGGAAAGUCAAGAGUGUGGUGGCAGAAAUAUGUUAGCAGUGGAGGAUAACUGCCAUCAAGGUUCCCUUGCUGGGUCUGCCCCACAUACUUUGGUAGAGGGCACAUUAUAGGUGGGGCAGCAAAGCCCUGAGUAUUUUGGAAAGAGCUGCAGCUCCUGGACCAGCUCAGAGGUGAAAGCAAAAAAGUGGAUAUGGAGCUGUUCUAC